rnacentral:piRNA from 1 species
UUCUGGAAACGUGUCAGUGAAACAGA